UCUUUCUUUCCACAGAAAAUGCUGCUGAAGAACUGUGGAGGAAAAACACGGAGCAUAAAGAUCCGAACUCGUCCUCCGCCCAGGUACUCCUACGAUCCGUCCAUCUUUGCCUUCCAGUCCCUCAGCACAGUUCCCCCGUGCAGCCCGCUGACCCUGUCUGAAGAUCCGCCGUGUUCUUAAGGAAGUUCACACCCACAUGGCUGUUUUUCAUGCUGCCUGCCACAGAACAAGCAGUGAGUGCAACAAUAGACCUUUGACUCUGACGGUGGAACUGUCUCCCGCUCAGGUAACGGUACCCUGUAACACCAUCAGUUUGAGUGCUGUUCUCCACGUGGACCAAACAGGAACCCUUGGAGAAUAAAAACAUUAUCAGGACACUUCAGGUAUUGAUUUCUUCUCUGAAAACCUUCUGGGAUUGGAGAAGAAACUAACUGUAGACCAGUGGUGCUACUGCAAGUCAAAGGCACAUUUUCCACCAGACUGCGUUAGCUCUGGGUUGGAUCGGUAAGAAGGAAAUGAUGCACGGAAGACAAUCAAAUGGUUCCUUCAUCUGCUCGUUGUUGAACAUGAACACUGGUCAUCUGAAUACGCAACUCACGUUCAGCUCAUAACACAAUGUUCACCUGUAGUUCAAAUCACCCUUUGACCUUUGAUGUUCUUUAAUUCAUGUAUUUGUGACUUGUAGUCCAGGUCAGAGUCAUCUUUCCCUGCAUGAAUUCCACUGUUGAGCAGAAAGAAGGUUGUAUGAGAAGAAUCUGCUGCACCACAUUUGGCUCCUGUCUUAUAAUUAGCCUGCUUGUAGUGUGCCAUUACUUUCUCCUCCAAUGUGUUACCUUAUUACCUUUGAGGUAGAAGAGGACCACCGGACGAUAGUCAGGGUUUUGUGCAGAUCACUGGAUGCCUUCAGACGACAUUCCACUUGGAUAAAACUUGAUCUGCUGUCGAUCAGCGAUUAAACACAAAUGUCACCACUGUAAACUAAGAUAUUGUCGGAGUGAAUGUAACAUGAUUGCAGCAACUCACUGUCCCUUAUUGCACAAAGUGAAUCAAUAAAUGACUCGUGGCCUCUUCACAUUUUUUUUUUUUUUGCUGUUUAUCCAUAGUCUUGGGCGACAGGUUUCGCUCGGGUUAUUUUGGGGCACAACGAGCAAAUUAUUACUCCCACCGCUCUCUCUUUCCCAUGGUUUCAUGUUCAGCAGUAUGACAGAACUUAUCAGCAUUUACAAAAUGGUUAUUUUUGUUUUGUACACGUCCAUCAGACCCAGAAAGACGAGCAAAGUUCCUCCUUUCUAGAAAACAUGUUAUUGCACA